CGGUGAAGUGGGAGUGAGUGGGUGAUUGUGACAGUCAGGGCACGUUGGCACGUUAGGCUUGGCAUGAUGUCAUCUUUGCGUGCGGUGCGUCGUGAUCUGGCUGGGAGCGAUGUGCGAAGCAGCAGCAACAGGACUUUGGUGGUGGCAUCUACACACACAUCGAGGUUCACAAAUGCGAAGAGAUUGCAGCCUAAACUUGUGCGGUUGAAGGGCUGAUGUUCAGCGCACUAGUAACACAUGGGAUAGUACAUGCAAUGCCAUGCAGAUUGACCAUUGUGACCGGCCUAAACUAACAGUGCUGCCUUCUGCUGCUUGGUCUUGUUCACCAUCUCCCAGCAUGUGCCACCUUUUGUUGGGUGCUCUACAUCUUGCUCUUAAGGCAUUGUAUUCUGUUCAAGCCCUUGGCUACCCAGACCAUCAGGGGAUUUAACUGCUGGAGAAUCAACAGUGCAGGUGCCUUUUUUUUUUCAAGGUUUUCUUUAUGUGCUACUUGUGAAUUUUUCUAAGUUAAGUAACAUUCAACAAAUGUAUUUUCACAUGAUGAGAACUUUCUGACACCUCUACUGAAUUCUUCUUGACAGAAUCUUUAUUCUGACAUUCUUCUGUGGCACCCUGAACCGAUUUUUUGCAAAACAUUUACUAACUUUUAGUGUUUUUCAGGUGCCAUCAAUCAACAAUGCAACAGGUGAGCUUCCACUUCCUGCAUAGUGUUGUAGUUUUUCUUAGCUUUUCCUGUAGUGAUGAGAACUUGACACCUCUUGUCCUAAUAUAUUUGCUGGAACAUUUUAAAAAUACUGAUCCAUUUGAAUAAUUGUAGUUUUUCAGAGUGCAGUUAGCCGUUACAAAUAGUACUUUUUAUGUUGCAGGUGAGUUGUCUUCUGAGAAAUCCUUCCAAUUUCGUGGUCAAUAAAAUUGUUUCUGGUA